rnacentral:rRNA from 1 species
CCUACGGGGGGCUGCAGUGAGGAAUAUUGGUCAAUGGGCGCGAGCCUGAACCAGCCAAGUAGCGUGAAGGAAGACGGCUCUAUGAGUUGUAAACUGCUUUUGUACAAGGGUAAACCUGAAUACGUGUAUUCAGUUGAAAGUACUGUAUGAAUAAGGAUCGGCUAACUCCGUGCCAGCAGCCGCGGUAAUACGGAGGAUCCAAGCGUUAUCCGGAUUUAUUGGGUUUAAAGGGAGCGUAGAUGGGUUGUUAAGUCAGUUGUGAAAGUUUGCGGCUCAACCGUAAAAUUGCAAUUGAUACUGGCAGUCUUGAGUACAGUUGAGGUGGGCGGAAUUCGUGGUGUAGCGGUGAAAUGCUUAGAUAUCACGAAGAACUCCGAUUGCGAAGGCAGCUUACUAAACUGCCACUGACAUUGAUGCUCGAAAGUGUGGGUAUCAAACAGGAUUAGAUACCCUGGUAGUC